GUGAAUCAUCGAAUCUUUGAACGCAAAUUGCACUCUCUGGUAUUCCGGGGAGUAUGCCUGUUUGAGGGUCAGUAUAAAUCAAAAUCGCGGUGUUGCUUUUGGUGAUGGCCUUGGACUUUGGUUAUCUUUACUCUUAAUAAUGGUUUAAAGUGGGCUAAAAUUUAUUAUACCUUGUGCAUAUU
rnacentral:misc_RNA from 1 species